AAAAAAGGAGAAAAAUGUCAACAUCCUCUCAGAAGCCAUCAAGCCUCCCAAAGCCUCCAAGUUACAAACCACCUACUGACAUCACAGCUCACUCACCUGAGGAAGAUGAGCCAUCCCUUCCAAAUCUUUCAGCUAAUAAUACUUUUCAUGAUUUCCAGCAUCUCAUCGAACAAUCUGAGCAGCGGAUGCUCCUCGCAAUUGAGAGAAUGUCAACAGAUAUUUCCAAUUCUAUUGAGCGUCUGAUCCAGGCUAUUCAACAGAAUCGUCCUGGUCCGGCAACCAUCACAACACCACCACAGGAGACCAUUGAGAGGCCCUGCAAAACAUUGCAGGAGCUGCAAGCUUUCCUAUUAAAACUUGAGGGCCCAGAAGGGAAAAAAAGGAUGGUAUGUUGAUAUAGCACAGGGAUACAGUUUUUGAGCCUGAUGGGAGGUAGCAACAUUGGAG